GGCGAGCGGGUGAGUAAACGUGAGUAACCUGCCCUUAACUUCGGGAUAAGCCUGGGAAACCGGGUCUAAUACCGGAUACAACCUCCUGGCGCAUGCCAUGGUGGUGGAAAGCUUUAGCGGUUUUGGAUGGACUCGCGGCCUAUCAGCUUGUUGGUUGGGGUAAUGGCCCACCAAGGCGACGACGGGUAGCCGGCCUGAGAGGGUGACCGGCCACACUGGGACUGGACACGGCCCAUACUCCUACGGGAGGCAGCAAUGGGGAAUAUUGCACAAUGGGCGAAAGCCUGAUGCCCGACGCCGCGUGAGGGAUGACGGCCUUCGGGUUGCAAACCUCUUUCAUCAGGGAAGAAGCGAAAGUGACGGUACCUGCAAAGAAUGCCGGCUAACUACGUGCCAUAGCCGCGGCAAUACGCUGGCGCAAGCGUUAUGCGGAAUUAUUGGGCGUACAGAGCUCGUAGGCGUUUGUCGCGUCUGCUGUGAAAGCCCGGGGCUCAACCCCGGGUCUGCAGUGC
rnacentral:rRNA from 1 species